UACGGGGGGGGUAAGCGUUGUUCGGAAUUACUGGGCGUAAAGGGCUCGUAGGCGGCCAACUAAGUCAGACGUGAAAUCCCUCAGCUUAACUGGGGAACUGCGUCUGAUACUGGAUGGCUUGGAUUCGGGAGAGGAAUGCGGAAUUCCAGGUGUAGCGGUGAAAUGCGUAGAUAUCUGGAGGAACACCGGUGGCGAAGGCGGCGUUCUGGACUGCAACUGACACUGUAAAACGAAAGCCAGGGGAGCAAACGGG
rnacentral:rRNA from 1 species